UUACGGCCAUAGAGCGUUGAAACGCCGGAUCCCGUACGAUGACCGAAGUUAAGCAACGUCGAUUCUGGUCAGUACCUAGAUGGGGGACCGCUUGGGAAUACCAGAAGCUGUAAG